rnacentral:lncRNA from 1 species
GAAGCCAUGAUCACAGUAAAAUGUAACACAAAACCAGAUCACCAACCAAUAGACAUUCCUCUCAGCACCUGCAAAAAGGAAACAGUGAGUUCUGAGAGAAAUUUGCAACCUAGACCUGGCUUAAAUUCUGGGGGCACCAACUGGACACAGGGCUAAAAGUCUUACAUCUCCAAGUCACUGCAGAUGCAAAGCUGGGACAAGUUUUACACGAAAAUGAGAAUGGCUGCUGUUCUAAUCUUGAGAUAUAUUCACCCAAGCAUGUGCCACAGAGAAGGGGAGAAAAUUUGCAUUUCUGCCCCACCAUGAUGGAUUGAGUUCUGAAUGCUCAUUAAUGAAUUCUGGCCAGCCUUCUGAGGCUGUUAAUAAGGGACUAUUGCAGUCUUGGAUACAUCUAUGGGAGUAUGUGCCAAAUACUGCAGGUAAUGGCUGUGCUAAGUUACUGUCAAACCAGUGGCAAUAGCUGGUCACUAAAUCUUAACUGGGCUUUUACUGCCGCCGAAACAUUCCAGGAAUGCUGAAAUUUUUCCUCCUGACUAAAAAAAAAAGAGUCUUGAGA